UCACAACUUUAAAUAACGAAGGCAGCAAGUCUGGAAACAUCUCUACAGCUUCGAAGAAACGUGGAUUUUCACCAUGGGUCCUAAUAUGUGGAUUUCUAUCUCACUUGCAGUCCUGUUAUGUGUUACAGUAACCAACGCUCAGAAGAAUAUUGAAUGGCCCCCUCGACCAGGAGAUGAGGCCAUGACAACUAAAGAAGAGAGUAGUGACUCAAAAGAGUACGUCUUGUUGACCAGGUUGAAACCAGUGGAAAAAAGUGUUCCCGAAAAAAAACAGUUGAAACGAGACAACCGCCAGAGUUUCGAUGAAGACUAACCCAGAUUUGUGCAAGAAAUAGAAUGAUCAUGAUUUGAUGGACACCCUUGAGAUAGCGUACAUGAAGAAGAAUGUAAAACAAAUAAUGAGUGAUCUAAGUUCUAGUAAAUAAAGUAACUCGUCUUGAUGUGAAA